rnacentral:tRNA from 1 species
GGCGGGUUGGUGGAGUGGUCUAACACGUGCGACUCAAGAAAAACUUGGUCCUGAGAAAGGAUUUCGCAUCUCGCAAGAGGCGAGGGUUCGAAUCCCUCAUCCGUCA